rnacentral:lncRNA from 1 species
CGCCAUCUUUGCCAACUCGGUCCUUGGCGGUCUGAUGUUUGUUGUCGUCGCCGCUGUCGUCGCAAUCAUUGCAAUGACCGUCAUCGUCCAUGUCCAGUGGUACCCAAGACACGUCUGCAGAGUCGACGCACGCGACAAAAGGCAAUCUUUCGUCCGUGAUUGUGCCGACAGGAGUCGCCAGUAUCGCCACCAUGUCGUCAAACACACCAACCAGGAGGCGGGCAAGACUAGGGUCAUCGACAUGGUGUGCACAUGUACCACACACACGAAACCUAUUGUCGUCCGUGAGGUGCUCCCUGGCAUCUGCGUCGCGGGCAGCAGAGGGCGGCCUGUCGGCAAACCAAAAGAGACGCCAGACGCCGGCGGUCACGACGACGGCAACCGGGUUAGCGACGCCUCGGUAGACGCGCAAGAGCAUGAGCCAAUCGAAAACAACCGUGCCGAGGUCUCCAGUAUUAUUGUCGGCACUAGUGUAGACCAAGACGACUCCUGUGUAGCGUCGGUCAUGGGGUCCGUCGACGAGACGACUGCCGUGUGAGGCGGCACGACGAGUCUCUAGGCCGAGACCGAUCGCACCCUCGUGCAUCGCAAAGAGACCGCCGGCACCGCAAAAGGCCCUUGGACCAUUCUUGUUGGGAUGGCGCUCCCUGAGAAUGGCCGAUAGCGCCGAGAGGACGCAUGUUGUUGGAUCGCCCGAUCGUGCCUUUUGCAAGUGACGCCUCGCGUCGGCGAUUGCCCCGUCCGAGAGCGCCGGUGCCGCCCGAGGGACGGCGGAAGGUCGAGGUCGGCGUCCCAUCGUCGCCAUUUCCCUGGUGCCCGCAAUGCGCCUUUUUUUUGGCGGCGCCGUAUCUAUGUUGUCCCUGGCCUUUUAUCCCUUCUCUGUCUGCGUGAUAGAGAUUUGCG